UACGUAGGGGCUAGCGUUAUCCGGAAUUACUGGGCGUAAAGGGUGCGUAGGCGGUCUUUCAAGCCAGAAGUGAAAGGCUACGGCUCAACCGUAGUAAGCUUUUGGAACUGUAAGACUUGGGUGCAGGAGAGGAGAGUGGAAUUCCUAGUGUAGCGGUGAAAUGCGUAGAGAUUAGGAAGAACACCAGUGGCGAAGGCGAUUCUCUGGACUGUAACUGACGCUGAGGCUCGAAAGCGUGGGGAGCAAACAGGAUUAGAUACCCUGGUAGUCCCUGA
rnacentral:rRNA from 1 species